GAAAUGCGAUACUUGGUGUGAAUUGCAGAAUCCCGUGAACCAUCGAGUCUUUGAACGCAAGUUGCGCCCGAAGCCAUUAGGCCGAGGGCACGCCUGCCUGGGUGUCACACAUCGUUUCCCCAACGCAAACAUGUAACAAUGUCCAACGCCCCAGGGGAACCCUCCUAAAAGAAUUUCCUGGGAAGGGGUUGAAAUGACGCUCG
rnacentral:misc_RNA from 1 species